UCCCUGGUGGCCUAGCAGUUAAGACUCAGAGCUUUCACUGCUGCUGCCCAGGUUCAAUCCCUGGUCUGGGAA
rnacentral:tRNA from 1 species